AGAGUUUGAUCCUGGCUCAGGAUGAACGCUGGCGGCAUGCCUAAUACAUGCAAGUCGAACGGGAAAGACUUGUCUUUCCAGUGGCGAACGGGUGAGUAACGCGUAGACAACUUGCCUUUAAGACGAGGAUAACGGCUGGAAACGGCUGCUAAUACUGGAUAGGAUAAAGAGUCGCAUGACUUUUUAUUUAAAGGCGCGCUUGCGCCGCUUAAAGAGAGGUCUACGUCGCAUUAGCUAGUUGGUGGGGUAACGGCUCACCGAGGCGACGAUGCGUAGCUGUGCUGAGAGGCAGAACAGCCACACUGGGACUGAGACACGGCCCAGACUCCUACGGGAGGCAGCAGUAGGGAAUUUUCGGCAAUGGGGGCAACCCUGACCGAGCAAUGCCGCGUGAACGACGAAGGUCUUCGGAUCGUAAAGUUCUGUGAUUGGGGAAGAACAGCAUGAUCAGGAAAUGGGUCAUGUUUGACGGUACCCGAUUAGAAAGCCCCGGCUAACUAUGUGCCAGCAGCCGCGGUAAAACAUAGGGGGCGAGCGUUAUCCGGAAUUAUUGGGCGUAAAGAGUACGUAGGCGGCCUGUUAAGUCUGAUGUGAAAUCCCGCGGCUUAACCGCGGAGGGUCAUUGGAAACUGGCAGGCUUGAGUACGGCAGGGGUAAGUGGAAUUCCAAGUGGAGCGGUGAAAUGCGUAGAUAUUUGGAGGAACACCAGUGGCGAAGGCGGCUUACUGGGCCGGAACUGACGCUGAGGUACGAAAGCGUGGGGAGCAAACAGGAUUAGAUACCCUGGUAGUCCACGCCGUAAACGAUGAGCACUAAGUGUCGGAUAUAAAUUCGGCGCUGUAGUUAACACAUUAAGUGCUCCGCCUGGGGAGUACGGUCGCAAGACUGAAACUCAAAGGAAUUGACGGGGACUCGCACAAGCGGUGGAGCAUGCGGUUUAAUUCGAGGCAACGCGAAGAACCUUACCAGGUCUUGACAUCCCGCUGACCGGUCUAGAAAUAGGCCUUUCCUUCGGGACGGCGGUGACAGGUGGUGCAUGGUUGUCGUCAGCUCGUGUCGUGAGAUGUUGGGUUAAGUCCCGCAACGAGCGCAACCCUUAUCAUUAGUUGCUAACAUUAAGUUGAGGACUCUAAUGAGACCGCCGGUGACAAACCGGAUGAAGGUGAGGAUGACGUCAAAUCAUCAUGCCCCUUAUGAUCUGGGCUACACGCGUGCUACAAUGGCCGGUACAAUGAGUCGCGAAGCCGCGAGGCGGAGCUAAUCUCAAAAAGCCGGUCUCAGUUCGGAUUGUAGUCUGCAACUCGACUACAUGAAGUCGGAAUCGCUAGUAAUCGCGAAUCAGAAUGUCGCGGUGAAUACGUUCUCGAGUCUUGUACACACCGCCCGUCACACCACGAGAGUUUGUAAUACCCGAAACCGGUGGCCUAACCGCAAGGGGGGAGCCGUCUAAGGUAGGAUGAAUGAUUGGGGUGAAGUCGUAACAAGGUAUCCCUACGAGAACGUGGGGAUG
rnacentral:rRNA from 1 species